rnacentral:rRNA from 1 species
UAAGGAAUAUUGGUCAAUGGACGCAAGUCUGAACCAGCCACGCCGCGUGGAGGAUGAAGGCCCUCUGGGUUGUAAACUUCUUUUAUAUGGGACGAAACCCUCUCAUUCUUGAGAGACUGACGGUACCAUAGGAAUAAGCACCGGCUAACUCCGUGCCAGCAGCCGCGGUAAUACGGAGGGUGCAAGCGUUAUCCGGAUUCACUGGGUUUAAAGGGUGCGUAGGAGGGCAGGUAAGUCAGUGGUGAAAUCCCCGAGCUUAACUUGGGAACUGCCGUUGAUACUAUCUGUCUUGAAUAUUGUGGAGGUGAGCGGAAUAUGUCAUGUAGCGGUGAAAUGCUUAGAUAUGACAUAGAACACCAAUUGCGAAGGCAGCUCGCUACACAAAUAUUGACUCUGAGGCACGAAAGCGUGGGGAUCGAACAGGAUUAGAUACCCUGGUAGUCCACGCCCUAAACGAUGGAUACUCGACAUACGCGAUACACAGUGUGUGUCUGAGCGAAAGCAUUAAGUAUCCCACUGGAAGUACGACCGCAGUUGAAACUUAAAGGAAUUGACGGGGGUCAUAGCUGUUUCCUG